ACUCCUACGGGAGGCAGCAGUGGGAAUAUUGCACAAUGGGGAAAGCCAUCGAUGCAGCCAUGCCGCGUGUGUGAAGAAGGCCAAUUCGGGCUUGUUAAAGACACUUUUCAGCGAGGAGGAAAGGGUGUGUGCUAAUACCAUACAUCUGUGACGUUACUCGCAGAAGAAGCACCGGCUAACUCCGUGCCAGCAGCCGCGGUAAUACGGAGGGUGCGAGCGUUAAUCGGAAUUACUGGGCGUAAAGCGUGCGCAGGCGGUUUGUUAAGCGAGAUGUGAAAG
rnacentral:rRNA from 1 species